AUCACAAACACAGUGGCAAAAUCUGAAAUCAAGACCUAAUCAAGACCUAAUGGGUUAACUGACUGUGCUGAGACCCCACUGAUCCUCUCUCAGAGAGGAGAGAUAUAAAAGGUUUGCAAACAUGGUGGAUAUUCAGAAUGAGUUUUGAACUCAAGUUGCCAAGUUUGACAUCUCAAAAAAUGUCCAGGUUUGAUCCUUCUGCCUUGCCGUGUGGAGAAAGAAUGAACUGAAUGAACAGACAUUAUUUUGGUGUAGGGUCUAUCUGUUGCUCUGUUGGACUAUAAAUGGCAAUUACUUUUUCUGUGAUCUGUGUUUCAGUGCCCUACUGACAAGUGAAAGUGUGCAGAAGUAGUGAAGUUUAUUGCAAGCACGAAUGAGCAACUGCAGAGAUUAUUCAUUGCACCCUGCCACAGCUCAAACACAGAAUUAAUUCAGUGCAGAUGCUGAACAAAUGAUUUGAAUUUUGUUGCAGAAGAUCAUACUAGUGACUGCUGACAUGGGGAAUAACCGCCGUCUCUGUGGGACUGAACGUUACUUGAACAAAAAUUCAGACUGAUGUGUUUUGCCAUUUUGGAUCCUCUUCAUUAGCAAGGUAGCUAGGCAAGGGGAAUCGAUCCCCUAUGCCUGGGGCUGUGCCACAGUCACUUUGCUUGUAUCCUCUAGCUAUCAAAACUUGAAAGAGAAAAAAGAAAAUGGCUUUUUUUCAGCAUUAUGUGCAAUGCUAUUUGUCCUAAAGAGCUUCACUGGUAUUGAUAUACUGGCUUGAGAUCUUCAUCAAGACAUAUUGUAAGUUAUUACCAUAAUGUCCACAGGCUUUGAAAUGCUCAAAGGAUCUGUAAAGAUAAUAUAUUGACAUCAAAGCUUCUUUCAAGCCCUGUUUCCAAAAGAAUCAGAUAUAGUAGAAGAACAUAAUAUGUUUGCCAAAAGCAGCAAAAAGUUUUUUGGAAAUAAAUCUUUUCCUUACAUCCACACUUGAACAAAUUAACCUGAAAAAUUAAUUUUAAAAUGGUAUCACAAUGAUAAUUCCUAUUGGACAAAGCUUAUCAGAGGGAGAGAAAUAGAAACUGGGAAAACAACUGGGAGAGAAUCAGACUAUAAAACUUUCUCAGCAUCUUCUGGAUUAGACAAGUUCAUUCUAUAACAUUCAAGGCAAAGCUGUGGUGAGAGGGAGAAAAAUGGAGAAAUCGUAGCUAUGACAAAUGUUCUCCUGAUGGAGCCAGGGUUUUACUUGGUACAACCAAACCUGUUUCAUCCCACAGAUGGGGGCUGUGGAAAGCAUCUCUCAUGCUGGCAAAAGAAAUUGCCUUCAUGGUAUGUCUCCCCUUUGUGUAGUGGCUGGUGAGAUAUCCUAUGCCUCAGCCUACAUCAUGUGGAGGAAUUACAAUUAACAAAGCCUCUACUGAAUUAGUGUAAGUAUAUGCAACAUGGAAACCAGGAAAGGAGUGUAAUGGGAGAAACAAAAUAGUUACAGAUGUUAAGGGAUAUGAACGCUGAAAGCAGUUAAUUGAAAACUGAAAGGAGCUAAUAAUGAGAGAAGAAAGAAUAAGUGAAUUAAAUGGAAACAUCAGGGUAAAAAGAGAAAAUAUUUCAGAAGAAACCUACAGGUACAGAUAAAUAUAUCAAGAGGACACUUAUUGCUUCUCAUUAGAAGUGUGUUCUGGAGUACAACUAUGAGCUACUUUUAAUUCUUUCUAGGGCAUUGAAAAUUCUGUGGGGUGGACAGACAUGGUGAUUUCUUGUGGAAAUGCUACCUAACGUUUAUCCUGAACUGAUUCAAAACAAGCCAUCCAAGCUUAAAGGAAAAGACUGCUCAACACUGGAAUUUUUAAGUGGCCACGUGUAUACUCAUCUGAUGGGAGGAGAUAAGUGUGCCCUGUGCUUCUGGAGGAUGCAUGGCCAAGAGUAAUCCUGAGUGUCAUAGUAAGCAAACUUCUACUAUGAUUGCUAUGGUGCUCUGGCAUUUUAAUAGCAACUAAAGGAGUAACCUGCUCAGGACCCACUCUUAGGAACAAAAAUAGGCAAAUACGCAUCAUGAUAGGUUAUUUUUCCCCCCAUUUUAUCAGCCUCUGGAGACUAAACUGCUGAAAGUGCUGUUGGUCAAACUGGCAGGCAAGGGGGCUAAUGGCUUUCAUCCAUGGUAGCUGGUGGGAUCCAAAUGAGCAGAUGAUGAUGGUAUGGUGAUGGUUUCCAGCUCUGUAAAGGAAAACUCCUGCUGAUUUGGAAGUUCUCCUUGAUGAACACCACAUGUCUAUACUGAACUUUCUCUUCUAUUUAUUUUAAAUUUCCUAUGAAAGUAAUUUCUCUGUGAAGGGGUAAGGAAACGACGUGCUUAAAAAGAAAACCUAACUGCCGUGCUUAGAAGUAUGUUUAUUCAACUGUGAAGUUUACUGUUGAAAUAGGGAUUGACAGAUGUUAGCCAUAUUUUAUCAGUACUCUCAUGAAUGCCAGGACUAGAAAUGCUCAGGAGAAGCUCAUGCCAUCAGCCCUCAGCUGAACAUGUACUGAGAAGAUUUAUUCUUGCUUUCUUUUCAUUGUGCUUAUCCCAGACUUCUCACAGCAGGUCUUAAUGAAAAAUAUUCCAAAUUUCAGUGACAGUUCCAAGUAACUGACAGAUGGAACAAAGCACACCAAGAACUUGAUUAAGGAAGGGGACACCUGAGAUAGGAUUUUGGAGAGAGGCAGGUGAUUAUCUCUGAUACUGUGAUCCUCAUGACCUUCUGUCAGCUUGCAGCCGAAGCUGGACAUGUUUACACUGUGUUGGCAACCUUGUCUUUGACUUUCUAAGCAGACAAAGUUUGACUUCUUCCCUGUUCAGAGCAACUUUCUUUGUGCUAAUAGUAAUUAUGGAGCAAGCAUUCCAUGCCUAAAACCUCAGAGGAUGCCAAACUUGAGCUUUUUUCUGUCUGCCUUUCUUGUAGGUGUGACUGCAGUACGUGAUGGGAAAAGGGCACAUCUCCCCCAGGAUGGUCUCCUGCACAACAUGCAGCAGCAAUGGCCUUUGUUCUCAGGCUGCCACCAUGUCCCUUUAAUGCAGCAGUCCAGCUCAUCCAUUGUUCUGUCUGAUUGUGAGAUAUUUUGUCUGAUGAGGCUGAGAAUUGCAAGGCAAACCCAUUUCAGGACAGGAGAAAGCUUCCCCUCUGUUACUAUGUCCCUUUGCCUAUAAAUAAUUUGACAUUCAUUGUAGCAUGUGAGCUGCAAAAUGCUCUUUAAUUUCACCAGAUGGGGAUUAGCUGAACAACCUACUAGCUCAUGGCUUGCACAGUGCAGCUCCUGGUAAGGAAAGUAUCCAGGAGUGGUUCUUAAUAGAAGGGAUUUUCCAGUUUUAUAUCUCUUCAUGACCUAUCCCUGCCAUCUUCACAUGUACACACACACACACACACACACACACACACAGACAUCUGAUCAAUACUCUUGAUUAAUACUUUGAUUAAAAUCUUGAGAAAAGUAGAAAGACUUAAAGAUUCGUUCCAGAUCAAUGCUGUGUUUAGCUGCCUAGUCUGUUCAUAUUCUUGUCACAUAAUGUUCUGCCUCUGAUAAAGGAAUAGACAACCCAUCUGACUGAUUAAUGGGAUGCAGUUGCACAUAAUGUUGUUAAAAAUUUUUACACUGAACCGGUCACAAACAGCAUAAUAUAUGAACAAGUUUUUGUUAAAGGAAUUUACAAAUAACUUCUGCAAAAGUAUAUGAAAAAGUUAUUUCAUAACUUCACUAAGAUUUAUAGGCAGCAAAUGCAGGUAAAAUUCAUUGAAAUUGUGAUUUAUUGCAAUUACUUUAUUUGCUGUUGGAUAUAUUUAGAUGUGUAUGCAGAGAGAAUGUGGGAUUUUAUGAAAGAGGGAGAAAUAAUUCAGUGGGGUUUUUUUGUUUCUAUACCAACAAAAUCCAUCGGCAAGCUUUGGAGGCAGGGAAAAAAGAGGAAAAUAGCAGAACUUUUAUGUUUUCCAGAAGUGCCUUGAUGUAUCAGUCCUGAUUUACUGCACCUCAUAAGAACUUAAAGGGAAGGUUGGAGAUAUUCUUUUCCUACUGGGGUGUGCUGAAUGGAAUUGCUGUGGAGUAGUGCUUCAGCAGUAUGCAGGAGAGUGAUGUUCACCACAACUGGUUGAGAGAUGCUGCUUCUGCUCCAGAGGACACCAAAUUGACUGACUAUAUUAAAGGAAGAAGAAAAAGAGGGAGAGGGAGAGAGAGAGAAAAAAAAACAGGACUUGGAUGAUAUUUCUCAGUGUCUGCCAAUAUCUAACAUGCUUUUGGAAAAGUUGCAUAACACAACCUACCAAGAGAGCCCUGUUUGAAUAGAGCAUGAAUCCAAUGAAUCUAAAAGGAGAUAAGUGUUUCAUGACGCAUUCACUGAGAACUUUGCCCUCGAUAUUUGCUAUGUAAAACUGAUAUAUAUGGCUGCCCUGAGAAAGGUUAUUCGAUACAAGACAGUAUGGUAUCGACAUAAAGUGCAUCUGUGAAGUGAACUGUUGAAUUACUACAGCUAUUCAUCAGAAACCGUGGGAUUCUGCUGAUGACAAAAUCCGCUCCCAAGACAGUUUUCCAAGAGCAGUUUUUCUCUGCAGACUCUCAUCAAGUCUAUGUAGCAGCACCAGGAGCCAGUGGGAGUUUUGUGUGUAUGUGUGUGUAAUGUGAACUUGGACACCAUGUUCACAACAAUUUUUGUCACUUGAAGAUGACAAAGGUUCAAAAUAUUGCUUUUGUUUGGCAUCCCUCAAGUAGGUUAACACAACAAUUUAUGUGUACAAUAUGCCACCUUCAUCCAGACAUUUGAUAUCUCACCAUGUUUAAAUGAAGACAGAGGCAUGAAUCCAGUCCCCAGAGCUAUCCUGUCCCCCAGACUGAGGGAAACUGACCUUAUGCAGAAUAUUCAGCCUGAAAAUCAACCUGACAUGUGACUUUGGGGUUUGAGGAGUUAACGGCAUUACCUCUUAUACUUAGUAUUUUAAAUUUAGGCAUGCACAGCACUCUACAAAAACAAAUAAAGACAAAUGUGAGAGAAGCAAAUAGUUCAUACCCUGGAAAGUUUACCUUUUCAGUUUCACGGAACUAUUGAAUUAAUUUCUGCAUAAAUCGGAGAGCUCACUGAAGAGGUGGGCUACAGAGAACCAAAUGGAACUAACCAUGACCAGAAAAGCAUGAAAGAAAAGGUAGAUAAAGUUAGAUAAUGUAAUUACACUAGAAAUCAAUGCAAAUCCCUAGGUGUAUAUGCAGUUUGGUGUUUAUGUUUGUCUACUUUUAUAAAUUCUAAGAGACAGUGAUAUUAAAAAAGGUCACCAGAAGAAAGGAAACUGCGAGAAUUGCCUGGUAAUCUCAGAAAGUAUAUGGUGGCAGAAAGGUAAAGGGUACACAGAAUUAUAGUAAGGAAAUUUUAGGGGAAAUCAGAAUACAUGAACUAAGAGAAAAAAACUGUUGCAGUUAUAUAGGUGUCAAAAGUAAGAAAAGGCCUAUGUUUGAUGGAAGUGGUAGAAGCUGCUUACGACAGAAAAAGUCCAUUUGGAUACCAGACAGCCACAGCUUGUGAUUUAUGCAAACUUGGAAGGAAUACAGAAACUUAGCCCAAAUACAGUAGCUGUCGUAAGAGAUGCACAGCUCUGGGAAGACAGAAAAACUUAAAUAUAAACGAACUGAAAUGAGGUUAAACGCUGGCAUAAUUGUGACAGCAAUUCUGUCUGCGGUUUUACUUGAAAGCAGCGCCCGCAGUCAGAAGCUCAGAUUGCCGACGCGUGAUACGUCUCAUGUGAUUCAUACAUGUGAUGUGUGGUGUAGUAGUCAACAUACACAGAACAAGGGUACCUGCAGCUCUACCCCGAAAAUUUCUCAGCAAAUCUGGGUGGACAAAUGUCUGCUAGUUAUGGUUAGCGUCUAACUUCCAGUCCCAAUUUUUUUUAAAAUUACUAAUAGCAUUCCCAAAUAAAUUGUUUUCAGCUGAAACUUUCUCCACUGAAUGGUCAUUUUGGCAGAUGCUUUAAAUUAAGUCCAUGAGUCUCCUUAAGAAUUUUUCAGUAAUUGAGAAGAGAAACACCUUUUCUUUUAUGAUCUGCUAAGACCAUGUCAGCUUUAGAGGCAGAACGACACACACUCACUGAAACUUGCAAGUGAAUUGAAUCUUAGGCAGUCAACUCAUUAAAGCUGUUGACUAAUACCUGCAGUGCAGUAAUACUCUGAGACUCCUGUGGAUUUUCAUUCAGUGGGAUUUGCUGAUUCUCAAAGAAACCCCUGGAUUUGGUAUGUUUUCCUUUACAAAAAUGUCAGUGACAAAAUCCUAUCUUAUAACUGAGAGAUCUUUAUUCUAUAGUUUAAGCUAGUGCAGAGCUUAAGGUUAAAAAAUUAAAUUUUCAAUGUUUUACUGCACUAUUGUACCAGCUUCUUUUUCUGACUCUUUAUACAAAUUAUAAUUAAAAACUCCCAACCAAAAAAAAACUUCAAAAAAUCCUCACAAAUAAACCUGAAAAUAAGAAACAAGGAAAUAUAAAGGAUAAAGAACUGCUAUGAUUUUUGUUAACACUAUUUUUGUGACCUCGUGAGAUUAUCCUUAUAUUCACCCUUUCUGUAACACCUGUGUCCAUGAAAGGGAAAGCAAAAACUUCAUGUCCGUUAGCCUGACUUGAGUAGUUUGAGACUAUUAGGAAAAAGAGUGAAAGCUAUUACUGUGAAAGAUAAAAAAUGCAACCUAUCUUUCAAAGGAAGACUGUGCCAAGCUAAUCUGAUAUCUGGAUGGGAUAACCUCCUGUCAAAAGUAUAUGCUAGUUAUUGAAGGUUUGCCAUUAACAGUGCAAAGAGCUUUAUCAUCAAUAGCUUCGACACAUUGUAAAGGAUUUGGUUAACCCCAAGUCUGUGAGUGGGAAGGCCUUGUCUCUGUGAAGAGCAGAGGAGGAAGCAGAGAGAUUUCAGCAAUGACAGUGUUGUCAUGAGGAGCAAUGGUGCUCACUUGCUGUGAGUAACUUCACGUUUCUGAGUGUCAGAGAGCUAAAAUUCAAGAACAUCUCUGUCUUGGAGGCAAAUGACUUAGUUGUGAAGAUGGAGCUUGAUAAAUGUUUGGAACCAUAUGGCAUGGUCAGCUGCAGUCGCAGGCAGCUGAGUCCAGGGGAAUCCUUUCCACUCUUGUGUUUCUGUACACUGGUUAUUGCCAUGUGAAAUGUCGCUGUCCUGUGGGUGUACAUGUAUGUGCUGAUAAGUGAAGAUGGUAAAGCCAACUAUGCUUCUGAUUGUUUCAGAAAAUGCCUUUGAUUAUUACAGGAGCCAUAUACUGUCCCAUUUCCUAGGACUAACUACAAAAAAGGAAGAAAUGGGUUUUUGAAAGCAUCUUGUGUUGCACUAUCUCCAUGUUGGAAUGUUGGAAUGUUGCAAUCUGAAAAACAAUUCAUGUUUAUAGAAACUUUUAUUUCAGUUUAUUAGCUUUUAAUCUAGGAUAAAUGGGAUUUUUUUUUUUUUCCCAUCUUACUUUGUUUAAAAUGGCUACAGGGUGCAUAGUUUGCAUGAGGAACCUUUAAAGCAUUCCUGUUCUUUUUCUUUUCCUUUAUUUGUAAGUGGUCUCCUCACAAAUCUGUGAAAACCAAAGGAGUGAAAACCAUGCUCGCCCCUAUGGAUGUGAAGCUCCAACAUCCUGAAAGCUGUUUGGCUUUAGAUUCCUCAGCUGAAUCCUUUCUAUGUCUUGGCUCAUGCAAGCCUGUUCCUAUGCACACCCCUUGGUAACCUGGCUUGCCUGUGCUCCUCUAGAGCUCUGCCCACACACAGUGACAAAUAUUACAAAUGGAUCUUUCCUAUACAUAUCUUUCCUAUAUAUAUCCUCAGUUCAUUAUUAUACUUUCAGGUGCUCAGUCUGCAGUGUUUCCAGGAUACAGUAAAAUAUGUGCAGUUUGACUUCCAGAAAUCUUUUGAUCUCUGAAGACAGUCUUAACAUGCAGUAGAUGUGAAGUGCUUUAUGCCACUCAGAGAGAAGUGUACUCCAUGAAGGAAUCAGCCUUUUUCAUUGCAGUUGCAGGCUCUGCUUACACUGGAAAUUCCACAGUGCCAGAAGAGAGUCCCAGGCACUAACUCCAUUGUCUACACUGUUAAAUUGUUUGAGCAGUCCUUGGAAUGGUUUGCCCCCGGGCAGUCAGCCCAGGCCUCUUCCAAACAUUUCCUGGGCAUAUUUUGAGAAUUAGCACGGGCCAGGCACCAUGCCCAACAUGUAGUUUGGAUGCGGGCACCCUUUUUUGGAUGAUAAUAGACUUCACUAGUGCCAGAUGGCCUCAGAGCCAGAGAGAAUAAACACAGCCUGAUUGCAUAUGCCAUGUGCUCAUGCAGAGGACCUCUUGUGCUGUAAAAUGAUAGCUGGACUUGUGUGUACGUGCGCAUCUCCACGUGAAGAAGCUGUAACCUGAAAGACUGGAUUUUACAAAGGGCAGCCUCAGACGGGACUUUGUGGCAUCCAGGAAGACAGAGUGGGCAUUAUGCAAUGCCUGUAUUGCUGAAAACAUCACAGGCUCAGAUCAAAUGCUGGGACCAUAUGUUCGAUGCACCAUCUCAAAUGGACACUAAGUAUAAAUUGGCUUUAAUGUCUCCUGGGCACCCUCUGGCCUUAGGACAUGUUUAUGUCUCUUUGCUGUUCAGACUGCCUGAAAUAAUACAGGAUCUGUGUUACAACCCACCAGAUGAGUGUUUUUAGCAUACAAAUUAGAAGGUGUGUGUUUUAGGAUGUGGUGUGUUCAAAGAUGCAGCAUCUACUAGGAUGCUGUUACAAGGCUGUGUUGUUGGGAGAGAGCCAAAACAAAUGUACCCUUGACUGUUACGAGCUGAGAGCUGCUCCUGUGAUGUUCAGGCACUGCCCAGCAGAGCGCCUGUUGAAGUGGUCCAAACCAAAGGUGAGAAGUGGCUUCACAGGGAGACUGAUCAGGGGUCCAGUGUGUGGUUCCCACACUGUCCCUCUCUUACUGAGAAGUACAACCAUGCCCCUUGGUGCUGGGUUCUUGGACACAAGACCCUAACCUCUUGAAAAAGCCUUGCAGGUUUUAGGUUGUCUGGGAAACCUCUGAGAUAAAUUACUUUCUUUCAUGCAGAGCAAACUCUGAUAGCAGAAUGGGAGAUUUCUGCACUGGAUUGCUUUGUUAUGUAUGAUUACUAGGGGCUCAAGUAAUAAAAAUUAUUAAGUGCUGAAGAGUCUAAAUCUGCUGAAAAACACAGGGGUGUCUGGACCUGUGUCUGCUGAGUUAUAACUGUCCCAGUUCCACUGGAGAGUACCAAUAAACUCUGCUGAGAUUUGCUUUAUUCCCAUAGUCUUUAAGUUAUACAGUAGAACAUAUAUGUAGGCUUUUAAGUUCAAACUCUUCUACCAGUUUGAAACUUUGGGAUUAAAUAUAAAGUUAUUUCUCCUUCUAUUUUUUGGUUUCAAAAUCACAAACUGUGUGGAAGAACAAAACUUGCUACAGUAAGUUCACAUUAAAUAAAGAACACUACAGGAAAACCUUCUCAUUAAGGAAAAUUAAGAGGAUAAAACCUGUUCUGGAUGUGAGAAAAUAUGUUAAUGAUUAUUAUAAUUAGCAUUAAUUAGUCUUAUUAGACUUUUUUAAUCACUAGUUUUGGAGAAUAUGGAAUAUUCAGGGAUUGGCAUGCAAACAGUGACUGAGCACAGAGAGUAGGUGUUCGAGAGAAGCUUUUCGUGAUUAGAAUCUGCUGAAGUGCGUUACAGUAUUGUGCAUGGAGCAUCUUGUUUCAACAUUGAAGAUGUCACUAGAAAUGGGCAAAUCCUUUGCUGUUACAGUUUUUUGUCUUUUUUUUUUUUUGGUUCAUCUCAUUAUGUUAUCUGAGAGCUGAUUUAUGAGACAGACAUCUCAUCUUAGUGGGGGAAGGGCAGGUGCCUGGAGACAGUAUCUUUUUCAGUAUCUUCUUUAUCCAGUGCUGCUGCAAAGGUGUUGAAACUGAGAGAUGACAAGGCCAACCAAUGUCUGCAGGACAGAUUUGGACAAAGAGAAAAACAAAGUUAAUCAUUAUGUCAGGAGAUGAAUUAAUAAUAUAAGAUAAAUUUUCAGUACUUUUGGUGGGGGGAAAGGUGAUGGGCAGUGUGUGUUAUCUGUCAGCAAG